rnacentral:rRNA from 1 species
UACGGGGGGGCAAGCGUUGUUCGGAAUUACUGGGCGUAAAGGGCUCGUAGGCGGCCAACUAAGUCAGACGUGAAAUCCCUCGGCUUAACCGGGGAACUGCGUCUGAUACUGGAUGGCUUGAGGUUGGGAGAGGGAUGCGGAAUUCCAGGUGUAGCGGUGAAAUGCGUAGAGAUCGUAAGGAAGACCAGUGGCGAAGGCGGGUCUCUGGACAGUUCCUGACGCUGAGGCACGAAGGCCAGGGGAGCAAACGGG